rnacentral:rRNA from 1 species
GAUGAACGCUAGCGGGAGGCUUAACACAUGCAAGUCGUGGGGCAGCACGGGGUAGCAAUAUCCUGGUGGCGAUCGGCGCACGGAUGAGUAACGCGUAUGCAACCUACCCAGUACAGGGGGAUAGCCAGGAGCAAUUCGGAUUAAUACUCCAUAAUGAUAUUAAGAGGCAUCUUUUUAUAUUUAAAGCUACGGCGGUACUGGAUGGGCAUGCGUAAGAUUUGCUAGUUGGUAGGGUAACGGCCUACCAAUGCUCCGAUCAUUAGGGGUCCUGAGAGGGUGGUCCCCCCCGCUGAUACUGAGACACGGACCAGACUCCUACGGGAGGCAGCAGUGAGAAAUAUUGGUCAAUGGGCGCAAGCCUGAACCAGCCAUCCCGCGUGAAGGAAGAAUGCGCUAUGCGUUGUAAACUUCUUUUCCGGAGGAAUAAAAUCUUGUACGUGUACAGGACUGAAGGUACUCCGGGAAUAAGCAUCGGCUAACUCCGUGCCAGCAGCCGCCGUAACAC